UACGUAGGUCCCGAGCGUUAUCCGGAUUUAUUGGGCGUAAAGCGAGCGCAGGCGGUUGGAUAAGUCUGAAGUUAAAGGCUGUGGCUUAACCAUAGUAUGCUUUGGAAACUGUUCAACUUGAGUGCAGAAGGGGAGAGUGGAAUUCCAUGUGUAGCGGUGGAAAGCGUAGAUAUAUGGAGGAACACCGGUGGCGAAAGCGGCUCUCUGGUCUGUAACUGACGCUGAGGCUCGAAAGCGUGGGUAGCGAACAGG
rnacentral:rRNA from 1 species